UACUAUUUUAAACCAUUUAUUAAAAAAAUAUAGAAACUUUAUACAUACUAAAAACCAUAACUAACCAUAACAUUAUUGGACCAUAAUAAUUUGUCUAUGCGUUUAAGAACUAAGUACAAAUAUAAUAUAACCACGAUCCCUAAGUCUUUACUCCUAACUUAAGAACUCCUCUGCACUAGUCCGAUCCGAAUCUGAGAAAAUACUUUUCUUUCUUUACUUUGGAAAUGGCCGCAACACUGUUAACCAACUUUUUUCGGAUAAAGCUGUCAGGUUGAGAUCUAUAGAUCCCAAUUCGACUUUGCUCAGACUUAAGUCACUAUUAAAACGAGACAGCGUUAUACCGCUGGCAUAAAUCUGUCUCGUUUUAUCUGAAACAUAAGUCUGAGUAGAGUCAAAAUACGAUCUCAGCCUUACUGCCUUGCCUUGGACGUCAGUACUCACCAAUAUGACAUCCGAAUUUGGGCAAAAUUUUCUCAAUCCGUAUUUUAUCAAAUUCGAAUGUGACAAGUGUACAAAGGUCCUAAUAUAGCAGCUAUAUGAUAGUCAAAUAAAUAGUAGGAAAUGGAAAAUCAAAAAUACUCCGUGAAAAGCGGCACAAAAUAAAAAUAACGGUCCGAUUAUGGGAGUAGUCGAAUAAUCAGUAGUUACGUACGUGGAUUUUGGUUUUACGUCGCUUUUUAAUGUUACCACAGGGUUUGACUGUACAGAAAUGAUUUAUAAAAUUAUAAACGAAUUGAGCAUAUAAUGCAAUAAGUUAUUAUUUUUUGAUGGCAAUUUAAUAAAAACUGUUUAAUUUAAUAUGCAUAAGGAAGAUGUGAGAAGAUUUAUUUGAUUACCAUAUUCUGAAGGUACACUGCAAAUCUCCGGAGUGGAGUGGAACCGAGACACAGUAUAUAUUCAGAACAUAACUUAAAGUCAGCUUUACCUACUGAGUACGAAGUAAAUAAAGUUGAGCUUAUUAAAAAAGACGGUGCGAUUCCGUUCAACUUCACUCUGUAGGUCUGCGUUGUGCAUUACACGCCUGAAUUAGGCAAGAAAAUGUUAAGGCAAGCCACUUAAAAACUAGCUGAGCAAAAUUAAUAUUUGUUCUAUAAUUUGAUCUGUAUUACAUAUUUUGUGUCAUUUACAAUAAUUUAAAAAAUAUAAAUAAUAUUUAUAUAGCUAACAAUUAUUUAUAAACACAUAUUUGGUACACCGUUUUAAAAUAUUGUUAAUAAUUUUAUGUUUGGUCAAUACUCAAUACCUAUCAGAAAUAUUUACGCGUACCCAUACUUGUGUCGGGAGCGUGCUCGACCGUAAGGGUGUUUCCACUGACGUGGAGCUGGGCGAAGUGGAGCGGAGCGGACCAUGAACUAGCCAAUUACACAGUGUCCACGGAUGCGGAGUGGGGAUUUCGAGCACUUGGCCAAUUCACGGCCCGCUUUGCUCCACUCCGCCCAACUUCGCGUCAUUGGAAACGCCUACUAAUGGAAUCCUCCGAGUUAUGCUUGGGAACCCAGCUGGUCUUACCGUUCUAGAUUUGAAGUCCUAUAAUAUAAUAGUGCUAUUCGGAAAAGACUUCAUAAUCAAUUCAGGCGGCCGAACUUUGAUAAGUAAAUUGUUCGGACUAGAUCGAGCGUCGUAGAUCUAAUAGCGACUUCUAUUAUCGUAAUAUGUAGUAACCCUAUACUUGUAUUUACCAUUUCUACACCUAGUAUGCAAUCCGUGGUGUUGAAUAUUGUCAUACUUUUUAUGUUCAUCAGCGUAAGAAUUUUUAGAAUUGGAUCAUUAGUUCCGUGGAUUACAUACAAACUUACAAAACCUAUAUGAUAUUAAUAUACAUAUCAUUUUACAGUACAACAGCUAUACCUGCAUUAUGGAAUGAACACAAAUACAGAUUCUUAACGAAAAUUAAAUAUUAUUCGUAUAAAAAGUAGUAACGACCGCGUUAAAUAAUUACAUUCUAUAUAAUUAAAUAUGAAGUUGGAUCUUGGCAUCACAACACGAAUAAAAGCGCAAAAAUCAUAAAUCAGCGCCAAAAAUAUGGGAAAACCUGUUUUGAAUCAACAAAAAACUAUUAAUCAACAACAAGCCCUCAACAAUCAUCACACACACAUCUUUUCAGGAUUUAUUUUUAGAUUUUAGUAAGUCUCGUUCUUAGUUCAUUUAUUUUAUCUAGAUUCUAGGUAUACAACGUAAUUUCUUUUUCCCCAAAAAUAUUUGUAGAAAAAAAAUAAGAAAUGCAGUCAAUCUUUCCCGGAAAAAAAAAAUUGUGUUUUAAAUUGAACAUCGUUUCUAUUUAAAACACAUUUCAAUUUAAAGAUUUUAAGCCACUGACCUAUGACAUUACACCAUAUUUACUCGUUUUUUUAAGGCUAAGAAUUUUAACGGGCGUUCGCAUUGAAACGCAACUGAUUGACUGGGCAGCACGUAUCGUAGCCCAUAUGUGUGAGCGAGACAGUAUAAGAUUUUAUAUACAAUUUGAAAGUAGCUUGGCUUCGGACGGGUGCCCAGCGACAUGUCGGAGCAGCACAUAUCGUUGCCCAUAUGUGUGAGCGAGACAGAGUAUAAGAUUUUAUAUACAAUUCGCAAGCAGCUUGGCUUUUGUCGGAUGUCGGGUUUUCUGGGCAGCGCUUAUUGUUGCCCAUAUGAUAAGCGAAUAGAAAACUUUAUAUACAAUUUUUUUGCAUCGAUCCGGUGUCCCACGAUACCACACGACAUUUUUUAAUCAGUCCAAGAAGUAAGAACCCACAAGAGUAUAGAAUACAUAGUAAUAUUAUUUAAAUCUACCUAAGAUAAUUUCAUAAGCAUAACAUAGAAGGCACUUUGUACAUAGCUAAUAUAAUCAUAAAUAAUUGUCAUGCUCCUACCAACCACCUAUGUAUAGGUAUAGCGCAUAACUGAGGAAGCUCCUGCGGUAGUGGAGCGGUGCGAGAAUGACAGUUGUCACAAGUUGAGGAAUCACUGAGCUCUCGCGUCACGUUUUCACACCCUCCCGCACCGCUCCCCUACCGCAGAAACCCAUUCAGUUAUGCGUUAUGCCUGUAGUUAAUAUAUCGCGUCAUAAUGUUUUUCAUAACAUAAAAGAAAAUUUCAUCAUUCUCAUUCGCUGAGUAUAGUUUUAAUCCGGCAACCUCGCAAGGAAACGCCUAGCAUGGCUGCCGCGUUCAGUCCAGACCCAGCUGUUCAUCAUUUCAGUGUCAUGAGAAGUACGAAAUCUGUAUGCUGUAUGCCAAUGGUC